rnacentral:tRNA from 1 species
AAGAGUUUAGGUUAAUAAAAGACCAAAGGCCUUCAAAGCCUUAAGUAGAAGUGAAAAUCCUUUAACUCUUG